GGUCACGGUACAACGGAAGACGUGCCGUUUAUUUGGGUCGGUGGUCUUCCCGCGG
rnacentral:rRNA from 1 species